rnacentral:lncRNA from 1 species
AACACACUUCACGUUCCUAAAAAUACCCUAGGAAUCAAAAAUACGUGAAAAAAAUCCUUCCCGGCCAAUUUCAGGGUUCUAGCAGGGUGACACCGCCGUGCUCCGGUGACGACACCAUCGCUUGCAGUGGUGAAUAGCCUCGACCUAGUUAUUUUUGGCCGGUUCUAGCCGGUUUCGGCUGGUUUUACAAAUAUCCAUGUGAAACAACACGUUAGGGACUCUAGGUUGGCUG